rnacentral:rRNA from 1 species
AGUGAACGCUGGCGGUAGGCCUAACACAUGCAAGUCGAACGGCAGCACAGUAAGAGCUUGCUCUUACGGGUGGCGAGUGGCGGACGGGUGAGGAAUACAUCGGAAUCUACUUUUUCGUGGGGGAUAACGUAGGGAAACUUACGCUAAUACCGCAUACGACCUACGGGUGAAAGCAGGGGAUCUUCGGACCUUGCGCGAUUGAAUUAGCCGAUGUCGGAUUAGCUAGUUGGCGGGGUAAAGGCCCACCAAGGCGACGAUCCGUAGCUGGUCUGAGAGGAUGAUCAGCCACACUGGAACUGAGACACGGUCCAGACUCCUACGGGAGGCAGCAGUGGGGAAUAUUGGACAAUGGGCGCAAGCCUGAUCCAGCCAUGCCGCGUGAGUGAAGAAGGCCUUCGGGUUGUAAAGCCCUUUUGUUGGGAAAGAAAAGCAGCAGGUGAAUACCCCGCUGUUCUGACGGUACCCAAAGAAUAAGCACCGGCUAACUUCGUG